AGCUGCUGUCGAUAUGGUGUGGAUCUUGCAAAGCAGCUGGUAACUGGUUUGCUGAGUGUUCUUGCAAACUGUGGAAGUGUCAGAAUAUCCUUCUCCGACAGAACUCCUGAGAAGGUGUAUAAUGUUGUUGUGAAAGAACUUGGGGAUAAUCCGAAAGUUUACAUCUGGGAUAGACAAGAGCCAAAUCCACACAUGGGCCAUUUAGCUU
rnacentral:misc_RNA from 1 species